rnacentral:tRNA from 1 species
ACGGCUGUAGCAUAACCGGAGAAUGCCCCGCCCUGCGAAGGCGGAGAUUGUAGGUUCGAAUCCUAUCAGCCGUGCCA